UAAGCAUAUCAAUAAGCGGAGGAAAAGAAACCAACGGGAAUGGCCCUAGUAACGGCGAGUGAAGCGGCAACAGCUCAAAUUUGAAAUCUGGCUCUUUUAGGGUCCGAGUUGUAAUUUGCAGAGGGCGCUUUGGCUUUGGCAGCGGUCCAAGUUCCUUGGAACAGGACGUCACAGAGGGUGAGAAUCCCGUACGUGGUCGCUAGCUAUCGCCGUGUAAAGCCCCUUCGACGAGUCGAGUUGUUUGGGAAUGCAGCUCUAAAUGGGAGGUAAAUUUCUUCUAAAGCUAAAUAUUGGCCAGAGACCGAUAGCGCACAAGUAGAGUGAUCGAAAGAUGAAAAGCACUUUGGAAAGAGAGUCAAACAGCACGUGAAAUUGUUGAAAGGGAAGCGCUUGCAGCCAGACUUGCUUGCAGUUGCUCAUCCGGGCUUUUGCCCGGUGCACUCUUCUGUAGGCAGGCCAGCAUCAGUUUGGGCGGUGGGAUAAAGGUCUCUGUCACGUACCUCUCUUCGGGGAGGCCUUAUAGGGGAGACGACAUACCACCAGCCUAGACUGAGGUCCGCGCAUCUGCUAGGAUGCUGGCGUAAUGGCUGUAAGCGGCCCGUCUUGAAACACGGACCAAGGAGUCUAACAUCUAUGCGAGUGUUUGGGUGUCAAGCCCGAGCGCGUAAUGAAAGUGAACGGAGGUGGGAACCCGCAAGGGUGCACCAUCGACCGAUCCUGAAGUUUUCGGAAGGAUUUGAGUAAGAGCAUGGCUGUUGGGACCCGAAAGAUGGUGAACUAUGCUUGAAUAGGGUGAAGCCAGAGGAAACUCUGGUGGAGGCUCGCAGCGGUUCUGACGUGCAAAUCGAUCGUCAAAUUUGGGCAUAGGGGCGAAAGACUAAUCGAACUAUCUAGUAGCUGGUUCCUGCCAA
rnacentral:rRNA from 1 species